rnacentral:rRNA from 1 species
UACGUAGGGGGCAAGCGUUGUCCGGACUUACUGGGCGUAAAGCGCGUGCAGGCGGAUUGGUAUGUGCCGUGUGAAAGCUCUCAGCUUGCCUGGGAGAGGUCGCGGUAGACAGCCGAUCUGGAGGCUCGGAGAGGUCAGUGGAAUUCCCGGUGUAGUGGUGAAAUGCGUAGAUAUCAGGAGGAACAUCUGUGGCGAAGGCGACUGCCUGGACCAGCACUGACACUGAGGCACGAAAGCGUGGGGAGCAAACAGG